rnacentral:hammerhead_ribozyme from 1 species
AUCCAAAUGACGAGUCUCAAAUGGGACGAAACGCGCGUCCUGGAU